rnacentral:rRNA from 1 species
CUUGUAGGCGGUUCGUUAAGUCUGGUGUGAAAUCUCCCGGCUCAACCGGGAGGGGUCAUUGGAUACUGGCGGACUAGAGACGGGUAGAGGAAAGCAGAAUUCCCGGUGUAGCGGUGAAAUGCGUAGAUAUCGGGAGGAAUACCAGUGGCGAAGGCGGCUUUCUGGGCCUGUUCUGACGCUGAGGAGCGAAAGCGUGGGGAGCAAACG